GAGUGGGUAAUUUUUUGCACAAUGAAUAUUUAAGCUGUGGUCGUUUUGUCAGACUUACAGCAAAUGUAUGCACCACAGCCUGAGAGACACCACUAACCCUGCUGAAGGAUAUUCUGAUGAAACAGCUGCUGCAAACAAGUGUAUUUUACCACAGCAAGAAAAAGAGCAUGAGUACAGCGAGAAGUGUGAAAUGCACAGAAACUGCUCAACACCAAGGCCCUCUCAUGGAAAGAUGCUCCUCAGCCAUCAUCCUGUCUGAUUUUUUGGCAUGGAGAUUGAGGGUGGAGAUGAUUCAUCUGGAAUGACAAGAAAC